rnacentral:tRNA from 1 species
GCCCCUAUAGCUCAGUCGGUAGAGCGUUUCACUCGUAAUGAAAAGGUCGCCAGUUCGAUUCUGGCUGGGGGCUCC